GAGAAACACCUCUUCCUUAUGUGGUGGUAUUACUAUUAAAGGGAGGAUACAGGUGUUGACACUGGGCGCCCUGGUGGGCCAUGGAGCCCCAUCAGCCUCUGCUCUUGCCCACGGCUAGAGUGCCCUGAGCCGUCUCUUUUGGGAGCCAGGUCAGCCGCUGUUCUGCUCAACAGGGAACACUCCGUUCCUCUACUUGGGUAAACCAGACACAGGCCCCUGCUGCUGCUUCAGUCAACAGGGAGGCCGGUGACCAAGCAGCUGCCUCCUCGCGGGGUCAGUCCAGUGUCGGCAACAGGCCCUCUGCUCCCUUGGGGCCCUGCUCUGCCUCUGCUGACAGCACCAGCUUCGUCGGAGAUGCUGAAUUCUCAUCAACUGUGAGAGCCAGAUUGUUUCCCUCCUUGCUUUUGUUUUGAUGUGUCUUAAAAUGAUUAGGCUUUUAC
rnacentral:lncRNA from 1 species